rnacentral:rRNA from 1 species
AGAGUUUGAUCCUGGCUCAGAUUGAACGCUGGCGGCAUGCUUUACACAUGCAAGUCGAACGGCAGCAUAGGUGCUUGCACCUGAUGGCGAGUGGCGGACGGGUGAGUAAUGCAUCGGGACGUGUCCGGAAGAGGGGGAUAACUGUUCGAAAGAACAGCUAAUACCGCAUAAUAUCCGAGGAAGAAAGCUGGGGACCUUAGGGCCUGGCGCUUACGGGGCGACCGAUGUCUGAUUAGCUAGUUGGUGGGGUAAAAGCCUACCAAGGCGACGAUCAGUAGCUGGUCUGAGAGGACGACCAGCCACACUGGGACUGAGAAACGGCCCAGACUCCUACGGGAGGCAGCAGUGGGGAAUUUUGGACAAUGGGGGCAACCCUGAUCCAGCAAUGCCGCGUGUCUGAAGAAGGCCUUCGGGUUGUAAGGACUUUUGUUGGGGAGCAAGGUGCACAGGUUAAGAGCUAGUGUACUUGAGAGUACCCAAAGAAUAAGGACCGGCUAACUACGUGCCAGCAGCCGCGGUAAUACGUAGGGUCCAAGCGUUAAUCGGAAUUACUGGGCGUAAAGAGUGCGCAGGCGGCUUUGUAAGCUUGAUGUGAAAUCCCCGGGCUCAACCUGGGAACUGCAUUGAGGACUGCAAGGCUAGAGUGUAGCAGAGGGGGGUAGAAUUCCACGUGUAGCGGUGAAAUGCGUAGA